CGGGGUGUAGCGCAGUCUGGUAGCGCACCUGCAUGGGGUGCAGGUGGUCGGAGGUUCGAAUCCUCUCACCCCGACCA
rnacentral:tRNA from 2 species